rnacentral:misc_RNA from 1 species
GAAAUGCGAUAAGUAAUGUGAAUUGCAGAAUUCAGUGAAUCAUCGAAUCUUUGAACGCACCUUGCGCUCCUUGGUAUUCCGAGGAGCAUGCCUGUUUGAGUGUCAUUAAAUCAUCAACCACCUCAUCUUUGAGAGGGUUGGACUUGGAGGUUCUGCUGGCGCGCCCCGUCUGGGGUUGGGUCGGCUCCUCUGAAAAGCAUUAGCAGGGACCAAUGUGUGAUCUGCAGCCUUGUGUGAUAGUCAUCUACACUCGGCUCGGUCGCAUAUCCAGCUUCCAACCGUCCACUCGUGGACAAUUCACCUGACCAAUUGACCUCAAAUCAGGUAGGAUUACCCGCUGAACUUAA